GAUGAAGAACGCAGCGAAAUGCGAUAAGUAAUGUGAAUUGCAGAAUUCAGUGAAUCAUCGAAUCUUUGAACGCACAUUGCGCCCGCCAGUAUUCUGGCGGGCAUGCCUGUUCGAGCGUCAUUUCAACCAUCAAGCCCCCGGCUUGUGUUGGGGACCUGCGGCUGCCGCAGGCCCUGAAAAGCAGUGGCGGGCUCGCUGUCACACCGAGCGUAGUAGCAUACAUCUCGCUCUGGGCGUGCUGCGGGUUCCGGCCGUUAAACCACCUUCAUAACCCAAGGUUGACCUCGGAUCAGGUAGGAAGACCCGCUGAACUUAAGCAUAUCAAUACGCGGAGGA
rnacentral:misc_RNA from 1 species